GACGAACGCUGGCGGCGUGCUUAACACAUGCAAGUCGAACGGAAAGGCCCUGCUUUUGUGGGGUGCUCGAGUGGCGAACGGGUGAGUAACACGUGAGUAACCUGCCCUUGACUUUGGGAUAACUUCAGGAAACUGGGGCUAAUACCGGAUAGGAGCUCCUGCUGCAUGGUGGGGGUUGGAAAGUUUCGGCGGUUGGGGAUGGACUCGCGGCUUAUCAGCUUGUUGGUGGGGUAGUGGCUUACCAAGGCUUUGACGGGUAGCCGGCCUGAGAGGGUGACCGGCCACAUUGGGACUGAGAUACGGACCAGACUCCUACGGGAGGCAGCAGUGGGGAAUAUUGCACAAUGGGCGGAAGCGUGAUGCAGCAACGCCGCGUGCGGGAAGAAGGCCUUCGGGUUGUAAACCGCUUUCGCCUGUGACGAAGCGUGAGUGACGGUAAUGGGUAAAGAAGCACCGGCUAACUACGUG
rnacentral:rRNA from 1 species